GUGCUGGCUUCAGCAGCACAUAUACUAAAAUUGGAACAAUACAGAGAUUAGCAUGGUCCCUGUGCAAGGAUGACGUGCAAAUUUGUGAAGUAUUCCAUAUUUUU
ensembl:snRNA U6 U6 spliceosomal RNA